AGUCCACAUCGACGGGGAGGUUUGGCACCUCGAUGUCGGCUCAUCACAUCCUGGGGCUGUAGUAGGUCCCAAGGGUUGGGCUGUUCGCCCAUUAAAGUGGUACGCGAGCUGGGUUCAGAACGUCGUGAGACCGUUCGGUCCCUAUCCGUCGCAGGCGUAGGAAAUUUGAGAAGACCUGUCCUUAGUACGAGAGGACCGGGAUGGACGUACCUCUGGUGUACCAGUUGUUCUGCCAAGGGCAUGGCUGGGUAGCUAUGUACGGAAUGGAUAAGCGCUGAAAGCAUCUAAGCGCGAAGCCAACUUCAAGAUAAGAUUUCCCACCGCAAGGGUAAGACCCCAGAAAGACUAACUGGUUG
rnacentral:rRNA from 1 species